UGAGCCUGUUGCAUUUAAAAAACAAAAGGGGGAGGAGGUAAGCAUGAAUUCUGUGUUCUGGAUGAUUCAUUCAGACCGUGUUUCCUGUGCCCCUCAAAACCAGUACUCUCAAACAAUCCAUAGUCUUCAGGAUUUCACUGAAUAUAGGGCCAGUCUUAACAUAACUGUUCAAAUCAAGUAUACCCUCCUUAGCGUGGCUUUAUCAUGCCAGCUGUCUAUUCACCCAUCCAGUACCCUUACCGAACAUUAGGGGCUCAAUUUAAAAGAAAAACUGAAUAAAAUCUCAGGGUUGUUUUUUUGUUUUAUUUUUGUUUCUGAUGUGCAUCUGGAGAUCUAUACAGGCACUCACUUGUGGCUUACUAAAUGUGUUCCAAUAAAAAUGAAGAAAGUACAGAGUUUAGAAAGUAAAAAUAUUUUUAAUAUAGCUAUUUAAAGAGAAGCACUGAGGACCUCAGCUUCAUUAGUCAGUCUUUUACCUAUUCCUUGGAACAAGAGCUCAGAACCCUUCGUUAUAUAUUUUUUUUGUUUAUUUCUUCAUGUAUUUGUUUUUUACACAAUUUUAAAAAUACUAAGCGUUGUUUUGUAAGUAAGGUCGUUACCAACUUGGGUGGGGGUAGGACUGUAGUUGCUCUUUAUAAAAUGGUAAAUGUCCAUUCAGGCAACCUUUUCAAAUCAAAUUCUAAUUUGUCUAGAAGUAUAGCUUGUCAGCAUUAUCUGAGGCACGAGCUUCCCAUUUGUACUGGUAUACAUAGCGUACAUUCAGAAUGUGUCUUUUUUGAUACUUUUCAUAAGCACAGGGGAAAACUGUAUUAGAAAAGGCUUCUGUGUGAGGAUUUCCUCAGGAUUCUCAUAUUGUUACAAAAUGCAACCCUGGAGUCUACAUUUUCAUAUCUUACUGAAAUCUAAGCUAUACAUGAAUAAAAGAUUGGAAAUAUAAAUAUAACAAGUGAUGAAUUAUUAGUUUAUCAGGAUCCAAGUGAAGAAAGAAGAUAUUAUAACCUAAAGAAGUCACAGAGUAACAAGAAUGAAAAAUUUAGAUAAUUUGCUUUAAAUACAUAUGUUACAUUUCCUUCUGUAUGAAAUCAGUUUAUUCUGCUCAAUGCUUAGCAGAUGAAAGUGUUCCUUAGCACUUGACUUGACCAUGACAAGAAAAGGACAAGCUUUCAUCAGCAGCGUGUGUGUGGAUUUGUAUCAGUAACACAGGUACUUUCACAGGCUACGUUUUUACAAAUUAUUGAUAUAUUCUAGGGACCUCUCCUUCAAUGUGCUACUCUCUAGAGAUAAGAAAUUAGUGUGGUGUGUUACCAAGGACCAAUACAGAAAGUGUACACAUCUGCACUGUGAUCCAUGAGGCUCUGUGAGGGCUCUAUGAGGGCUCUGCCCUCAAACACAUGUCCCUUACGCACACGCCCAAACGGCGUUGGAGAGGCUGCCCUGCAGAGCUCUUGUGCAGUUCUAGGAAAAUGGACCAGGAGCUUGGCCUCUGUUGCUGUUUUUCCCUAGGGCCUCUUUUGAAUAACAGUGUUUUUCUGAAUAAUAUAACCAAACUUCUGGACUAGAGGCCAGAUAUGAACCUUGAUCUUCAAAAAUGUGGGUUUGGUGUCUUUGUCUUUAUAGACACUUGUACAUGUGACAAAAAAAAAAAAAAUCACCAGGUGUGGGGAAAUGCCAACCAUACUUUGAGAGAUGAAGUAAUAUGAGCAAUCAUGCCUACUUGCAUAGGGAAACUGGCAUAAAAAGCCAGUGAUUCCAUAGGCUCUUUUCCUGCACUCCCCAGUGCAGUUAAUACCUCAUUUUCAAAAACAGCAAAAUCAUGGCAACAUUACAAAAUGAUCAUGUCCUUAGAUUAGAUUGUAAGCCCACCGGGCAGGUACUGUGUCUAAUGUUUUGUGUGGCGCCUCUCGCAUUGUUAGAGCUCAAUAAACAUUAAACAAUAACGUCUUGUGACUGUCAAAAUACAAAAAGCUUCUACACGGCAUUUCUCUAUUUUUAUACCUAUUUUAGUAGGUCUUUCUUCACCAGAAUUAUUGGAUGAGGGGUAUAGAUUGAUGUUUCUAAUGCAAAGAGGUGUCUGCACGUGAGAGAAGCCUAAGGCCCGUGUUCUGCAGUUUCUGGCACUGCCUGUAGUUCUAACAGGUGUGUUUGUGGUGGCCAUGAGUGAGCGUCCAACUAUAGCUUCCUCCCAGACACCUAACGGUGUCCAGUUCCCAGAGUUCUGAAGUUUCGGAAGAACCUCCGUCUCCCCUGAGAACAGUGCCCUUCCCAAGCACAUAGCUGCUAACAGCCUACACAGUGUCUCCUGGGUGAUGUGCCCCCCAGCACAUGAGGCCUCCCGAUGGCAGCCUGUGUGCCAGGCUGGGAUCUGGUGGCUCUGGGCUCAGUGCUGCUCAGUGACUUGUCACUCAGAAUCAUAGGGACAACUUUAUAGAGCCCAGAAAUUUCUGCAAAAUUCAAUGAUGUGACACUGGCCCCUAAUCAUCUUUCUUACCUUUUUAAAUUCUCACCUUAAGUAAAUCUAAAAGAUAUGCUUUGAUUUUUUUUUUAAUGGAUGAUUAGAAUGGAAAAUGAGGGGGAAAAAAAAGCAAAGAAUGGUUCAAUUUUAAUAGCUCCUUUUUCUUAUAUUUAUAGAGAUAGUCCUAAAAGUCAUGGUCUCAGUUCCAGAAAGGAGCUGAAAGAGUAUCGUGUGUCCACAUAAGUAUUAUAGGCCAAAACUAACAUGAACACUGGCUGAUACAAUGUAAGUAGUUAAUCCAGAACUGUGUCAUUUUUUAGGGUUUUCUGAGCAGCACAGUUGAGGGAUUAAAAACACUGAAUCUGGAGCCAGACCACCAGUGUCAGAACCCAGCUCCACCAGCAGUAGGACCUUUGAUUAGGAUCUAGUCUGUGGCCUCCGGUUACCUUGUCACACUGGGCACUGGUGGAUGAACCCAGAGAUUCCUGCUGCUGCCCUUAGCUCUGCUGUCCACCCUGCUCUUCCCAGAACCACCUGGCUGGAGCCACAGGGGCCCAUCUGCAAGCCUAGCCCUCACCAGCAGUUGGGCUUGUGCCAGGCCGGACUCUUGAAAAUAUCCCACAUAAUCUUUGCACAAGCAAGAAAUAAGUCUUUACUGUGUUAAGCCACUGAGUAUUUGUCUCUCCAGCGGAGCACACAGCCUAUCCUCACACAAAUGCAUGAACGCUUGACAUACUGACAAAGAGAGUGUAAAAGCAUUGGAGCCCAAGGCGAUGGUUACUGCUUGCUUCUUUUGAACAACCACCUCAUUCCUCAAAAGGAUGUAAGGGAGUACUGGCUGUCAUUCUGCCAACCUGACUUUACACAUCAGGUGUCUAACUCUACAAAUGAAGUGUUUGUAAAUUACCACGUAUUUUAAUGAACUCUACUGUAAAUCUUAUAGUAAAAAUGAAUAAUCAUGUUCUGAUAAUCUCUAGUAAUUCAAAUUUUCAUAUAUCACUUUGCUGAAAGGAUCUUGCUUAAGGAUCUAAUAUCUAUAAAAGGAAGAGAAACUUAGAUGUUACUAGCUUAGAAAUGAAGACCUUAACAGAGUACCUGCCCAGCCAGCAUUGCUUCACCUCGACCACCUCUGCUGUGAAUGGAAGGGAGGUGUCUCAGAUGUCCUUGUGCCUGGAUCUCUUGGUAAAUUACACCCUGAGGCUGUUGUGUGUUGCCUCAAACAGCAGUAUGUCUCCAGCCUCCCCUUGGGGCAGUAAAUGCACUGGUACCUCUGAAUGAGAUGUCCAGAUGCUCAAAACGCCAGGCUGUUAACAGCCCCAGACAAACCAUACACUCCACCCACUAAUGGAGCAUCUGAUGGGAACAGCCAGUGUGAAGUUCCAGAAAGCACAGCCAGGCCGAUGGAAGCAGACAUACUCAGCCAGAAACAGACCAUCUCUGCCACUGUAAGUGAGGCAUGACCAGUGCACAGAAUCAGCACGGUCAUAUGGGCUGCCCCAAGUGCUCCAGGACACAGAGGCAUGGUCCCAUUCAGUAGCCAGCAAAUAUGAGUGAGCCCUGUGAGUUUGGCAACAGGUUACAAUUAAC